UGCAAUGACGCUUUAUUUGAAUGUCUCCCCACCAUGAUCACCUUCUUUCUUUAUAAGCUCAGUUUCUUUUUUCUUAAUCAGAUGUAGAAAUUAGUUGUGAUCACGCACUUUAUGUAAUUAAAGAACAGUGGGUUAUAGAAGCGAUCGGAUCAUGCGGAGGGUCUGCAGGGAUUCUGCUGAUGCAAACGGACUGCAGCUGAACACGUGUGUACAUUAAAACCAUGGACUACCGAUACACACCUGCCUGAUCCUGUGUGCUUACAAACAUCCGCAUUCACAUUAAGGACUGAAGCGAUGCUACGAACCUCUGGAGAAUGUCAGCUCUGAAAAAGGAGGUCGAUGAGUCCAUUAACUUGAGUCAUCAUGGCCCCUGUCACAGUGAAAUGGUGUUACCAUGGAUACUGCAGACACAUUGCUGCCUUUUCCUUGACAAGAGUUCAGCCCACAUAUGAUUGAUGGCAAGCUGCCCAGCCGUGCGUCAACCCACAAUGUCCUGCAUAUGGCUUUAGUUUACUUCAGUGUAUCAGUGAAUAUUUUGAGAGCCCUGUUGCUGUUUCUAUGGAGACGAGGGAGGCUGAUGUCACUGGAGGUUAUCCUGAACAUGCUCAGAUCUGUUUGUUUGAGCCCGUAUCUGAUGCUGAUUAUGUAUUCAGCAGUAUUCUACACAACCCAUCAAUAUUCAUAAACUAGGUCCAGGAUCAAUCCUUAUGUCAACAUUUUGUGAAAGCAUAUAGAUUGAGUUCUAACAGUUCAUUUGUUUCUAUGUUGAGGACUGGAGAGAAUGUCCCAGAAUUAAUUUUUUCAAUUAAUUCAUCCUGGGUCAGCAUUUUCUUGAGGUCUCUAAGCACAUUACAAAUCAACAUCUGCCUUACUGACUCUAUGUUGUAAUGUUAACCAAGUGAUGUGAAUGUUUAGGUCAGAGCAAUACAGAAAAGAAUAAAGCUAUGUCAUCAUUUU